rnacentral:lncRNA from 1 species
UGCUCCACCAGGUCCUUGGUCAGGCCAAGGAACUGAGUUUGAUCCCCCUCUUUGUAUUUAAUGGAGCUAGAGGUACCAGAGCAGCACUGUAUGUCUUGCAUCUGGCAUUUCAAUCCAGAUGUUAGUUGGGCCAGAAAGAAUGACCCAGGGCCCUGGAAUAAACUGGGUUCCAAUGAGCAAUACAAGUUCUACUCAGUGAAUGUGGAUUACAGUAAACUGAAGAAAGAUGGUCCAGAUUUCU